GGCGGUUCUUGGGUGAUGCACCCCUGAAUCGGGCUCCCUCCUCUCUGGUUCUGGGUGCGUCACCCGAGAACCGCA
rfam:Myotis lucifugus cont2.47336, whole genome shotgun sequence.